rnacentral:rRNA from 1 species
AGUGAACGCUGGCGGUAGGCCUAACACAUGCAAGUCGAACGGCAGCACAGGAGAGCUUGCUCUCUGGGUGGCGAGUGGCGGACGGGUGAGGAAUACAUCGGAAUCUACUCUGUCGUGGGGGAUAACGUAGGGAAACUUACGCUAAUACCGCAUACGACCUACGGGUGAAAGCAGGGGACCUUCGGGCCUUGCGCGAUUGAAUGAGCCGAUGUCGGAUUAGCUAGUUGGCGGGGUAAAGGCCCACCAAGGCGACGAUCCGUAGCUGGUCUGAGAGGAUGAUCAGCCAAACUGAGACUGAGACACGGUCCAGACUCAUACGGGAGGCAGCAGUGGGGAAUAUUGGACAAUGGGCGCAAGACUGAUCCAGCCAUACCGCGUGGGUGAAGAAGGCCUUCGGGUUGUAAAGCCCUUUUAUUGGGAAAGAAAUCCAGCUGGCUAAUACCCGGUUGGGAUGGCGGUACCCAAAGAAUAAGCACCGGCUAACUUCGUGCCAGCCGCCGCCGUAA